GCUGGCACCUGACCCACCACAGGCACUUGUUUAUUGACCCAUGUCCUAGUUCAAUAUCUUAGAGACCGCUGUCCUAGUUCAACAUGUUGGAGACCCAUGUCCUAGUUCCACAUCUUAGAGAUUCCUUUCCUAGUUCAACAUGUUGGAGACCCAUGUGCAAGUUCAAUCAACACCAAAGGCAAAAUUCAGUACCAGGUUUAUAAUUUGAAGGAAACAUUUAUUCAACAACAGUUUCAAUAGAACGAGGUUGAAUUCGCAGUGCAGGUGGGAGUACCUUACAAGACAAUGAAACCUUUUUGCACACCACUGAAAUGAUCAUUCACAGCACUGAAAUGAUCAUUCACAGCACUGAAAUGAUCAUUCACACCACUGAAAUGAUCAUUCACACCACGAAAUGUCCGUUACAUGGUAAUUAUCAUGAAAGCCUAGAAGGUGAUUGGUAUACUGAAGCCUAUUUAGAGUCUAGAUAACUGAUUCACAUAUCUGUCAUUUCAGAAGCUUGCUGCCCAAACAUUCAGUGUGUCCAUAGGCUUGCAGUGGUGUCACGAUGAAUUGUUCUUACACCUAUUGAUACUCAGUCUAGAGCCAAUUACAGAAAGUCCUAGGAUUAAGAUUACACUGACAGAGACGCAUGGGACCUGUUUCACAUCACAGUCAUGAGGUACAGAGCCUGUGUGUUUUCCUCUGUAGGCAUGCAACAAUAUUUCUGCUCUAAUGUGGACCUGUUGCUCUCGGGUUGCUGCUGUUUUGAACCUGAUUCCUUGUUCCCACGUAUCAUUCUUCUCGGUGGUCUGAGGUUUCCUUUCCUUACAAAUCUAUAUGACAGUUUGGAAAACAAAAACACGGGUAAAGCGUCCAGCCCAGUGAAUCGCUUUAGGUGGUAAUUUCCAAGAUAUUUUUGGUGCGGAGCCACAGAGGAAUCCUAGACCCGUCUUUGCGCCUCGUUUUAAGACACCCUGAUCUGUGCUACGGCAGCGUUAGAACCGGUUCCCAUGCCACGUCUCCAACAGAGGGGACGUUAUAGCGGAACAUGCAGCCACACGGAACCCUGGAAUGUAUACUUUAAUCUAAUCAGUAGGCUAUCAAUCCUGGGGUGAGGAGAAGAGGGAGAGAGGGAUGACGAGAAAGGCAGACAGAUAGACGGAGAGACGGGGGGAGGGGGCUUGGACUGGCUUGGACCUCUGACACUCUUGUUGGGUACAAACUGAUUUACUGUCAGUCCAGUGAACAACAUUGUCCUCAAUCGGUUGACGUGGAAGAGAAUCUGUGGACAACCUGAAAGAGCUCAAGUCACACCAGGUACUGUAGAUGUAUUUUGGUUUCUGGGUUAACACCCUUUAUGCCAUAUGAUCGCAUUAGCUGUCAACUAAAGGCUAAACAUGAGUUCAAGAAGCUAACAUGAGUUUUCAGGUCCCAAGACAGUUCAACGCAGGCUCAAUGUAGACUCAAACAUGCCCCUUGAUUUAAUCACUUAAAGUCCCAAGUUGUUACAUUAAAAAGCUAAAAAUACUCUCUACAUUCACUACCUAAGCCACAGAACAACUGCCAGAAACACCCUUCUCGACUUUUCGAUCUUCGCCGUUCCAAACCCCAACCAUAGUCUUCGCCCUCUGAUGUAUCCUUUGGCGUUCAGCAGAACAGUCUCUGGCUGAAUCUGAAUCAGUUAGUCUUUGACGGGUUGCUUUCAGUAGUUCACGCCAUCCCAAAACCUUUUACAGUGCAAAUCAAUGGCCCUCACUGCCUGUGUCUCUGCCCGUCAGAGCUGCCGGUUGAGCUUCUGCGCUUGCCUCACCUUGGAGUCGAAGGUGUACUUGGUGUUCCGAAGCUCCCCCAGGGCCUCCAAAGCCCACUGCAGGUCUUGGGACAGCGCCUCAAACUUCUCCGCCAGCUCCCUCCUCUCCUGUCGGAGCUCCACCACUGUGCAGGUCAGCUCUGUCAUGCUGGGGCCACAGCAGCCCCGGAGCUGCUCCACCUCUGACAGGAGAACUUUCAUGCCCUUCAUCAGCUGCUCCAGGCGCUCAGGAGACUCCAGCACCCGGCAGUCCCCCAUCCCGGCGUUGGGCCGGUCUGUCAGCCGGUGGCACGCCGGAGAAACCCCGCCCCCCCGCUCUCGCCACUCCCGAGGGGACAGACCGUGAGAGCAGGUUGAAGAGACUUAACAGGGUGACCGCCGUCAGCUGCCGCGGAUCCACAGACAGAGGAGAAGGUUUCUUCCAAAGAAGCAACCUAAAUGAGGUGGUGAUCUGAGGGCCAGGAGGUCAACAAGGAGAAAAACCGGGUGAAACAGUUGUAGAGAGUUGAGGAGAAAAUGCUAGAAAACGACGACGCUAGGCAGAAGAGUUGGGUCCUGGUCUGAGUUGGGUCCUGGUCUUCGUCUCUGAACACCUGUAAAAGGUUUUAAAGCAUACUGUAAAUACAGAUCUCAAAGGUAAUCCUGUCUAUGUGUGUGUGUGUGUGUGUGUGUGUGUGUGUGUCUGUCUGUCUG
ensembl:lncRNA